AGCGAACGCUGGCGGCAGGCCUAACACAUGCAAGUCGAACGAACUCUUCGGAGUUAGUGGCGGACGGGUGAGUAACACGUGGGAACGUGCCUUUAGGUUCGGAAUAACUCAGGGAAACUUGUGCUAAUACCGAAUGUGCCCUUCGGGGGAAAGAUUUAUCGCCUUUAGAACGGCCCGCGUCUGAUUAGCUAGUUGGUGAGGUAAAGGCUCACCAAGGCGACGAUCAGUAUCUGGUCGGAGAGGAUGAUCAGCCACAUUGGGACUGAGACACGGCCCAAACCCCUACGGGAGGCAGCAGUGGGGAAUCUUGCGCAAUGGGCGAAAGCCUGACGCAGCCAUGCCGCGUGAAUGAUGAAGGUCUGAGGAUUGGAAAAUUCUUUCACCGGGGACGAUAAUGACGGUACCCGGAGAAGAAGCCCCGGCUAACUUCGUGCCAGCAGCCGCGGUAA
rnacentral:rRNA from 1 species